GUUUUUACCUCACUCUUGGGGGACGCGGCGGUUUCGCUUUUCAUUCGCGAGUUUGAGCUGUUGCUUGGUUGAGGGCCAAUGUUGCACCUGGAGUGUACUGGAUCAGGUGGAACUCGUAAUAUCUUUUUCGAAGGAAAUAAUACACAAAUUCAAGGCACAGCUUAUACAAUACAGAAACGGAUUUAGUCGCAAUUUAAAAGCAGGUGGCUUUCAUCGCAAGAAACAGAAGGGGUCAUAAUAAGUCUGCGACACCAACAUUUGAAAUGAGUCAAAAAUUGAAAUAAUAAAAAAGGUAACGGUAGAGAAUAUUAGUCAUUCGAAAAAAUUGUCCAACAAGGGGAGGGAGGGUAAAGAUUCCUGUGAAACAUCACAUAUAAUUUUAGAAUGAGAUAAAAAAAAGUCUGGGAAAUACAAUAAGACACAGUAGUUUUGAGAAGAAAAAAACGAUUUAGCAUAUCAAUUUCCUAAACUUCUGUAUAAUGGCAACUAUUAAAUAUUGUCACUUGCAACAUCAAAUCGAGCUAUAUUUUUUAUUUGCAGAAGAAUAAAUAAAUAAAAAAUUACAUAACUUUUAGGUACGAAUGCGAAAGCAGAAUUCAUACUCCAUGUACAUCCAACAUAUGAAAUUUGAAAGUGAGAGGAGAAAAUGAUGCAGUUUAAAUCAUCUGACUAUGAAAUAGGAAGAACAGUCUCGGUGAACUUAUUGCCACCAACUAAGAUAUGUCAGUCGGGCCAUCAAAAAUCCAGAGAACAGAAACAUAUUCAAGCCUUAAGUCUAAAGGUGAUUGCAUGAGUAAUGAAAAAAUUUAGAAUGAGGUGAUCGAGAUGGUGAUUAUACAAUCACAAAAAGAGCUGUGGUGCUAAGCAUUCUUGGUUGGGAAAGUUGAAUUGUGUUCUCAUGUUGUUGCAAUAUAUUUUGAACCUACUUAUGUUGGGAAUUCUAAAUUAAGCAAAAUAUUAUUGUGUACAAAUUUGAAUAAAGAAAUUGUUUCUUUUUUAAUGCUGUUGCAACCAAAGCCAGUGUAAUAAGACCAGAUCCCAAUUUAUCGUAAAUGUGAGACAUAACUUUCUUCGAAAAUUUAAGUCUACCUUAAAUUUCAAAUGCCAUUCACUUAUUAAUUUCUUGCAUAUCACCAUUAUUGCAAUUUAUACAAAUCAACUUAUGUAAAAUUUCAUUUUUAAUAAAAAUAAAAAAUAUCAUAAUUAUUGUUGAGUGUUCGAGGGGUGCGAGUUUGACAUCCUCUGGUCUACCGUGCUGAGAAUGCAUCCAAAUGAUAUCCAGGCUUCAGCCCCAAUCAUCUAUUAAACAAAUUCCACAGUCCCAACAACUUGGGGGAUCAUUCGUUUUCCUAAUUUUCAAUUGUAAUCUUCUUAUUAAAACCUGAUUGGUACCUAAUCAAGGGUGAAAUUUCUUUCUUGAUAGCUGCUUUCUCCCUCUAUAUAGUUACAUAACAUUCUUUUGCAGUGCAUUACAAUAUAUAAUACAAUUUUAUUUCGAUUACUUUUACUUUGCAAAGUACGUCAUUUCAUAGAUAGCUCUUAGGUAUGUAAUCCUUUUCCUCUGGAAAGUUUAGCUCCCAAAUAUCAGGCAAAUCCUGCUCGGUGUAUUCCAGUGCAAUGACUGAAUGAGAAAAUCCAGUCUGCCAGUACCAUCACUUUUGAAGUAGCUCCGUCUGAUUUGUGUGACUGUGUAACAGAGCAGCUCAAAUGCAUAACAGAUAUACAAGCUAGUCUGUAUUCAAUCUAUAAAUGAGAAAAAGACUGUUGAAAAAACGCACAGCGAUAUAUUUAAUUAAACAAGUCAAAGCAACGCACAAGUAUAAGGACAACUAAUCUCGCUUCCGUUUACGACUGGAAUUUGGAUGCGGCGGAACGAGGGAGUGUUUUUGAAAUUUAUGCGAAUUUCGGUGUUUUUUGGGUGGUAAUAGAAGACAUAUCAUCCCUUCCAUCUACCAAAGUAUUUUGAGUUAGAUC